GGCUUGUCGCUGGUCAUGUAUCAGAGGAAAGUCCGGGCAACAAAGGGUAACCCGCUUCCUAACGGGAAGAGGCUCGUGAGAGUCAGAUAGUGUAGAAGAAAACAACCGCCUCAUUUCUUGUGAGGUAAGGGUGAGAAGGUGGGGUAAGAGCCUACCAGGUCUGUGGUGACACAGGCGCUGUGCACUCCGGGUGUUGAAAGUUCGCGUAAACUGGCGUCUGAGGGCGACCCGUCCGAGCCAGAGGGUAGAACGAUUGAGGUGUAGGGUGACUUACAUCCUAGAUAAAUGACAGGCACUGCUUCGCAGUACAGAACCCGGCUUACAGAUUCACUG
rnacentral:RNase_P_RNA from 1 species